CUUUACAAGGAAGGCAAGAUUUCCUGCUUCCAUGAUGAUGAAAGGCAUGUAGAGUUUGAGCUCACUCCCAGCAGGGAAGACCAGUUUGAGUUUUUUUCCUGCUUCUAGGGUGGUAGAAAGCAGCCUUCAGCCUGAGACCCAUCCCUAGAAGAGAAAGAAAAGAAGGAAAGAAAGCAAGCAAGCAAGAAAGCAAGCAAGCAAGAAAGAAAGAAAGAAAGAAAGAAAGAAAGAAAGAAAGAAAGAAAGAAAGAAAGAAAGAAAAGAAAAAGAAAGAAAAGAAGAGCCUUAAGGUCAACCUACAAACUACAGAGUUCCUAAGUUCUCUUUUUUCUCUAUUUUCUUUUCUGCCUGCUUUAAAUCUGCUGUUAUUUUUCUAUUAAGAUCAAAACCACUGUUUGGAUACAACAGGCUUUUUGUUUGCAACCUGGUGAAUUUGUAUUUGUCUCAUGGCUAAAGUUCUGAAGUAAAAGCUAUAGGAUUUCUGUGUGUGUGUUUGUGUGUGUGUGUGUGUGUGUGUGUGUAUCUAUUUAAAAGGCCUUUAUAAUUUUUAUAAUUUUAUGUUUAAUUGGCAAUUAAAUCCAUUUUGACUUCCCUCUAGCACCACCAGACUUUUUCUCUCUGUACCUUAUGAUAUAAUUUUGCUAUUUGAUUUUUGCCUGAGUUGUUUCCUUUAACAUGCAAACUUAAGGCUAUUUAGCUGACAACUCCCUAGGGGAGUAAAACAGGUUAUUAAGAAUUUGAAAGCCUAAGAUAGGGGAAAAAAGCUCCUUAAGUAUCUAUACGAUGUACUUCUAUCAGCAUGCCUACUAUGUCUAUAUAUUUAUGUGAUGUGUACACAAUUUCUCGCUACUGAAAAUAUAUAAAAGAGUUCUAAUUAAUUGGCUUAAGAUAAAAAGCACUUGAAUCUAAUACUUUAUCAGGAAAAAAGAAAAGACUAGUUGAAUGCUUUCUGAAGUUUAUGUAACAAGUAAAAUCUUUAAUAAAUAAGCUAGCUUUAAAAUUAUUGGUAAAGUAAUAUUAGACAUGUCUUAAAAAUUGCCAGCAUGCAUUUUUGUUUGCAUUUAUUAAUCAAGCAAUUUCAUGCUUAUCCCUGUCAAAUACCAUAAGGUGUCAAAAUUUGCCAUGGAGUUACAAAACUGUAAUAGAAUGAUCUUUGCUUGUAUAAUCUUUAAUAAAUAAGACAUUGAUAUUGGUUUAAUAAAAAUAGUCACAUCUUGAAUUUAGUGAGAUUACUGUAACUUCUAAUUUUGUGGUUUUGGUGGUCUAGUCCACAGGCAGUAAGAUUUAGUUUGAGAAUGAACUGUUAUAAUCUUUGUUUCAAAGGUAAACUAUAAACUAUGUUCCUCUCAACGUCUGUUCAGCCUGUGCCCAGGAUUGAACAAGAACAGUUUGGAGGUUAGAAGCAAGAUGGAGUCAAUUAGGUCAGAUCUUUUUCACUGUCUCAGUUAUAAUUUUGCAAUGGCAGUUCCAUAACUUUAAAUGAUGACUAUUGCAGUUUUCAUAAAUAAUCUAGGUAAACAAUUCCUUUUUAAAAAGGUGAACAAUUGUCAUCUAAUUCAAUGCUUAUUUAAAGAUUAUGUAUAAGACAAGUUAAAAGGAACCAGGAAAUCAGAGAGAUGUAAAGAAAGGUAUAAAAAUAAAGAGGAUAAAGAGGGUUCUUUUUGGUAAGGAAGCUUAAAGAGAAAUAAUUUCAUAUGAGAAAAGAUCUUGUAUGGUAAAUUUAGACCUAAAAUAAAAUGAUUGUUUAAGAAAGAUGGAUGUUCAAAACAAACCAGAAAGUCCAAGCAUAUCAUGAACAGUCUGUAAAAGUCAUAAUAAGAGGAUUAAAAAAAAAACCAACAAACUUUUAUAUGGUCAAGUUGUCUGUAAUUAAAAGGAAAUUAUAAUAGUCUUCCUGAAGAUUGGGCUUCAUGUAAAAAAAAAAAAGCAAUGAUAAACAAAAUAGUUAGAGCGAUGAAAUUUUCUUAAGGGAUUGAUUUACUCUUAUUAAAUUAUAAGAGAUUUUAAUUUUUUUAACCCAAAGUUCAACUGUUUACUCGCUGUUUUCUCUCCCCUUCAACUCGUUUGCAGCUCAUAUAAGUUAUUUUCCUUAAAUUCUAUUUGUUAUGGUCUGAUGCUAACAAUGUUUUCUAAAAGUCUAAAGAAAAUGUUUUCUUCCAAAGUAAUAUUCUGUGCAGUGUAGAAGGUCUUUUCUUUUGCCUUUGGGUAAUUGACCUAACAGAUUUUAUGGCUUAUUGAAACAAUGCUAUGCUGUUAUUAUUAAUUUUUGAUUUGCUCAGGAAAAAGUAUCUGAGAUAAUUUUUUAAAAUUAAGGUUAUUACAUCCAUGUAUAUUUCUGUAGGUGCUUUGAAAGUACCUGUGACAUUAAGUUACAGGCCUUUGACUCCUGGGUCUAAAAAGGACACCAAGGUCUGCUAAAUCUUAAGCACUGACAGCAAUUAAAACCUCAUCUUCAGGCCUGGUAGAAGAUGCCAAUCAAAAUAAACUGCAUUCCUGAGACAUAAGGCCAGAAGUAAAAGCUAUUCAACUCCUCAAGGCUCAGGAACUACCACAGAAGAGGUAGGCAUGUGAGAUUGUAAGGGCUGAUUUUGAGAGACAAAAUAAGUUCAGUUUCUCUGCAAGUUAAUAAUUGAUGUCAAAGGCACACUGAUGCAAUACCAGCAUACGGGCCCCUGCGUCAGAUUAAAAAGGUUUUCUUGAAGUGUUAACCGACCCCUUAAUAAAGGUUAUAAAGGUUAAAAAAGGCUUAUGGAAGCUGUAUCUUAUGGUCAAGAUUAAAAUUUUAAAGAUUGAUAAUAAAAUUUCAAAAAACAAA